GCAGGUUAGAAAGCUAUUAAAAUGUGCAGAAAGAGCUAACAGCCAAGUCACCAUGAGUACUUGAAGGCAGUAGACUCUUCCUUUGUCUCAGGUGGGUCCAGAAGAUGACAUUUUCCAGAGCUGCAUGGUGAGAGAAUCCACACCUACCACUUCAUGGCAGGCCUUUGUGCUUUAAAGAGUGUUGAGGCUACACAGAGACACAUCUAUAAUGUCCUGAUGUACUCAUUGGCACAGGUGGAAGACAAAGAUUUAAAACUGAUAUUUCAGGUGUGAGCUGACUAGCAUGACUAAGGGUAAGGAUAUAAGUGGAAAAGAACAUGUGCCAUUCUCUGCCCAUGUGUACUCAAGGUAAGGUACAGAUAAGUCUAAGAGGAUAGCCAAUUUUUUUACAGUAAUUGUUGCUUAAUUCACUUCUCAGAGUUUGUAUAGAGAUCAUACCUCAUAUAGAGUUCAUACAUCUAAAUGAGCAAUAAGGAUGAAGACAGUUGGAGAAUCAGACAAGAAAGUUGUAUCAUGUCCAAUAGGACUGUGUGACGACAGAGAAGCAAAGUGGUUGUAGAAGUGGAAAAUAGGGAUACAGUAAUUUGCUCUAUGGAUAGAUUAAUGAAGAUAGAAACAUGGAGGGAUUAGGGUUAAGAAAUAGGCAACACUUCUCUGUACAUGGUGAAAACAUAGCAUUUGAAUGUUGUGUGGUGGAAAAUGAAAGAUCAAAUUACCAAAAGGACUGAAUUCCCAAAUGUGUUGAAGCCAUUGCUUCCUUUUGAUGAUAUGUACAUUCCAUGUUGAAGAAGGGGGAUCAUGGGUUAUUUUUCAACUAUACCAGAGUGUUUUGUUAGUCAGAUGGUUCUAGCAGGUAUGUAGAAAAACACAUAGCUUAACAGCUACAAUGGUUUGUAUAAAAGAGAUCCUCUUUUAUAGUUUGCCAUGCAGAAAGACUAUCUAGUAAGUAAUCAAGUCAUGGCUGUCUGAAUGGAAAAGAACAACUCAGCAACAGGCCCAGGGUUCUUCAUGCUCAGUCUUAUUGUCAUCUUCUGCAGUAUCAGCCUUUCCUGAGACUUUUAUGUUGGAAAUGGGCCUUAUCCACUAAGGGUAAGUACUUGAUACAAACACCAACAGGUUAAUAGUGAAAAGCUGCUCUUUCCUCACUCCCUAUAGUAACACAUUAGAAGAGCCAUGCAGGCAAAGUGCACUGGUAAGUGCUUUGCCAUAGAGAGUAAAAUACAGUAAUGAGAAAAGAGAGAGUGGCAAUAUCCAAGCUACCUUCAUCAGCAAC
rnacentral:lncRNA from 1 species